rnacentral:rRNA from 1 species
UACGAAGGUGGCAAGCGUUUGUUCGGAUUUACUGGGCGUACAGGGAGCGUAGGCGGUUGGAUAAGCCCUCCGUGAAAUCUCCAGGCUUAACCUGGAAAGUGCAGAGGGGACUGUUCAGCUAGAGGAUGGGAGAGGAGCGCGGAAUUCCCGGUGUAGCGGUGAAAUGCGUAGAGAUCGGGAGGAAGGCCGGUGGCGAAGGCGGCGCUCUGGAACAUUUCUGACGCUGAGGCUCGAAAGCGUGGGGGAGCAAACAGG